rnacentral:rRNA from 1 species
AUUGAACGCUGGCGGCAGGCCUAACACAUGCAGGUCGAGCGGAUGAAGGGAGCUUGCUCCUGGAUUCAGCGGCGGACGGGUGAGUAAUGCCUAGGAAUCUGCCUGGUAGUGGGGGAUAACGUCCGGAAACGGGCGCUAAUACCGCAUACGUCCUGAGGGAGAAAGUGGGGGAUCUUCGGACCUCACGCUAUCAGAUGAGCCUAGGUCGGAUUAGCUAGUUGGUGGGGUAAAGGCCUACCAAGGCGACGAUCCGUAACUGGUCUGAUAGGAUGAUCAGUCACACUGGAACUGAGACACGGUCCAGACUCCUACGGGAGGCAGCAGUGGGGAAUAUUGGACAAUGGGCGAAAGCCUGAUCCAGCCAUGCCGCGUGUGUGAAGAAGGUCUUCGGAUUGUAAAGCACUUUAAGUUGGGAGGAAGGGCAGUAAGUUAAUACCUUGCUGUUUUGACGUUACCAACAGAAUAAGCACCGGCUAACUUCGUG